rnacentral:rRNA from 1 species
GACAGCAGUCGCCGCGGUAAUACGGAGGGUGCAAGCGUUAAUCGGAAUUACUGGGCGUAAAGCGCACGCAGGCGGUUUGUUAAGUCAGAUGUGAAAUCCCCGAGCUUAACUUGGGAACUGCAUUUGAAACUGGCAAGCUAGAGUCUUGUAGAGGGGGGUAGAAUUCCAGGUGUAGCGGUGGAAUGCGUAGAGAUCUGGAGGAAUACCGGUGGCGAAGGCGGCCCCCUGGACAAAGACUGACGCUCAGGUGCGAAAGCGUGGGGAGCAAACAGGAUUAGAUACCCCGGUAGUCCCUGUCUCUUAUAC